AAAUUGAAGAGUUUGAUCAUGGCUCAGAUUGAACGCUGGCGGCAGGCCUAACACAUGCAAGUCGAACGGUAACAGGAAGCAGCUUGCUGCUUUGCUGACGAGUGGCGGACGGGUGAGUAAUGUCUGGGAAACUGCCUGAUGGAGGGGGAUAACUACUGGAAACGGUGGCUAAUACCGCAUAACGUCGCAAGACCAAAGAGGGGGACCUUCGGGCCUCUUGCCAUCAGAUGUGCCCAGAUGGGAUUAGCUAGUUGGUGAGGUAACGGCUCACCAAGGCGACGAUCCCUAGCUGGUCUGAGAGGAUGACCAGCCACACUGGAACUGAGACACGGUCCAGACUCCUACGGGAGGCAGCAGUGGGGAAUAUUGCACAAUGG
rnacentral:rRNA from 7 species